AGUGAACGCUGGCGGUAGGCCUAACACAUGCAAGUCGAACGGCAGCACAGUAGGAGCUUGCUCUUACGGGUGGCGAGUGGCGGACGGGUGAGGAAUACAUCGGAAUCUACUUUUUCGUGGGGGAUAACGUAGGGAAACUUACGCUAAUACCGCAUACGACCUACGGGUGAAAGCAGGGGAUCUUCGGACCUUGCGCGAUUGAAUGAGCCGAUGUCGGGUUAGCUAGUUGGCGGGGUAAAGGCCCACCAAGGCGACGAUCCGUAGCUGGUCUGAGAGGAUGAUCAGCCACACUGGAACUGAGACACGGUCCAGACUCCUACGGGAGGCAGCAGUGGGGAAUAUUGGACAAUGGGCGCAAGCCUGAUCCAGCCAUACCGCGUGGGUGAAGAAGGCCUUCGGGUUGUAAAGCCCUUUUGUUGGGAAAGAAAAGCAGCAGGUUAAUACCCCGCUGUUCUGACGGUACCCAAAGAAUAAGCACCGGCUAACUUCGUG
rnacentral:rRNA from 1 species